rnacentral:lncRNA from 1 species
GUGGAGAGUGAGGUGCAUGCUUCUCACCAGAUCUCCUGAUGGGAGAAUCACAGGCAGAGCCUAGUAAUCAUCACAGUUCAAAUGCUCCCUAGAUUAGAGCCCCACCCAGAUGCUUGAAGAAGGAAGAAGGAAGCAUGCAAAUGGCAGACAGAUUUAGCUGGUUUCUUUGCAUGAGCAGAAACCCCAUCAAAACAUUAAACAUCACUUUCUUCUCGGCCCCAUAAUAUCACUCCAACCCCCGCCUCGACACCCUGCAUCUUCACUCACCUGGACCGAUGCUAUUGCCAGACGCUGUUCCUCGAGUCUGUUCAGCACCACACAUGAAGACCCUCAGCUGGCCCACCUGGC